UGGCCAGACUCCUACGGGAGGCAGCAGUGAGGAAUAUUGGUCAAUGGGCGAGAGCCUGAACCAGCCAAGUCGCGUGAAGGAUGACGGCCCUACGGGUUGUAAACUUCUUUUGUCAGGGAGCAAUUGAGUCCACGUGUGGUCUUAGCGAGAGUACCUGAAGAAAAAGCAUCGGCUAACUCCGUGCCAGCAGCCGCGGUAAUACGGAGGAUGCGAGCGUUAUCCGGAUUUAUUGGGUUUAAAGGGUGCGCAGGCGGAGGUGCAAGUCAGUGGUCAAAUUGCGGGGCUCAACCCCGUACUGCCGUUGAAACUGGCAGUCUCGAGUUGGAGAGAAGUAUGCGGAAUGCGCGGUGUAGCGGUGAGAUGCAUAGAUAUCGCGCAGAACUCCGAUUGCGAAGGCAGCAUGCCGGCUCCACACUGACGCUGAGGCACGAAAGCGUGGGUAUCGAACAGGAUUAGAUACCCGCGUA
rnacentral:rRNA from 1 species